UACGUAGGGUGCAAGCGUUGUCCGGAAUUAUUGGGCGUAAAGAGCUCGUAGGCGGUCUGUCGCGUCGGCUGUGAAAACUCGGGGCUCAACCCCGAGCCUGCAGUCGAUACGGGCAGACUAGAGUGCUGUAGGGGAGACUGGAAUUCCUGGUGUAGCGGUGAAAUGCGCAGAUAUCAGGAGGAACACCGGUGGCGAAGGCGGGUCUCUGGGCAGUAACUGACGCUGAGGCGCGAAAGCUGGGGGAGCGAACGGG
rnacentral:rRNA from 1 species